CGUGACCACAUUUGGACGAGACAGCGUGGCUCAGUGUGGAGCUGGCCAGCUAGCUCAGCUAUGUGCAUCUGUACGUUCAGCCUGCAGCUGCAUCAGAUGGAAGACGUGUCUUGAAGCCGCUGCUUCCAUCAGCCCAGAGCCGCCGCCUCACACUCUGAGACCUGCUGUCAGCGUUCAGGUGUGGAACAGGUUCUGGCUCCAGCGCAGGAAGUGGACUCAGGUCACGUCACCGUCAUCAGAUGCGUCCUUCCUUUAAAUGACAGAACGACACAAAGACGUUUCAGCCGUCAGACAGAAAUAGAGCAGCUGUCCUCUCCACAGACAACGACGAUGAUGAUGAUGAUGAUGAUGAUGAUGAAGCUGCUGCAGGGAGGCGGCUCAGUUUGACCUUCAGACUGAACAGAUGGACUCAGCUGGACCUGCUGUGUCUGUUUCAUGUUCUUAUGUCCUGGUGGGGACUCGUGUCUGGGUCCAGGUCAGAAUCAGGUCCAGGUUUGGGUUAGAGUUCAUUUAGUCACUGAGAGGUCCCCACAAGGCUGUGUGUGUGUGUGCGCGUGUGUGUGAUGUGUUCAGGGACCUCUCGGUGCGAUCAUCAUCAGCAGGCUGCUCAGCGUCUCCGCUGGCAACAGGACCGGUUCUGUUUAAACUCUGUGGACUGUUCGGUGCUGCAGCUGCAUGGAUUAUUAAUAAAAACCUCAUCCUGCGACUCCAGUGAAGUUAUACUGGUACAUCAUAUGUACACAUGCAGUACAGUUUUCCUCUUUAUAAGGCUUUUAAUAUUAAAAACUGUAUCUCAAAGUCUUUUUAAAAUAAAACUGGAAAAACUA